GAGUUCUGCUCAGCUGGGAGCCACAGAAGGCAGGAUCAGUGAUGGUGUCCACCAUGGCCUGGUCCCCUUUCCUCUUCACCCUCCUCACUCACUGCACAGGGUCCUGGGCCCAGUCUGAGCUGACUCAGCCGCCCUCAGUGUCUGGGGACCUGGGCCAGAUUGUCACCAUCUCCUGCGCUGGAAGUGCCAACAACAUUGGUAUAGUUGGUGUGAACUGGUACCAACAGCUUCCAGGAAAGGCCCCUAAACUCCUCAUCUCUGCUAAUAGCAAUAAACUCUCAGGGGUUUCUGGUCGAUUUUCUGGCUCCAUGUCUGGCAACACAGCCUCCUUGACCAUCACUGGGCUCCAGGCCAAGGACGAGGCUGAUUAUUACUGCAUGUCUGCUGACUCUGUAGAAAGUGCUGACACAGUGCUCCAGGCCCGUGGGGAAGUGAGACAAAAACCUGCUCUCCCCACGCUGAUGCGCUUUCCUUGUUCAGCUCCCACUGUCUGCAAACACAGCUGCUUCCCUAAAACAGAAGUCUGA